GAAGACCGCUGGCGGCGUGCUUAACACAUGCAAGUCGAACGGAAAGGCCCUGCUUUUGUGGGGUGCUCGAGUGGCGAACGGGUGAGUAACACGUGAGUAACCUGCCCUUGACUUUGGGAUAACUUCAGGAAACUGGGGCUAAUACCGGAUAGGAGCUCCUGCUGCAUGGUGGGGGUUGGAAAGUUUCGGCGGUUGGGGAUGGACUCGCGGCUUAUCAGCUUGUUGGUGGGGUAGUGGCUUACCAAGGCUUUGACGGGUAGCCGGCCUGAGAGGGUGACCGGCCACAUUGGGACUGAGAUACGGCCCAGACUCCUACGGGAGGCAGCAGUGGGGAAUAUUGCACAAUGGGCGGAAGCCUGAUGCAGCAACGCCGCGUGCGGGAUGACGGCCUUCGGGUUGUAAACCGCUUUCGCCUGUGACGAAGCGUGAGUGACGGUAAUGGGUAAAGAAGCACCGGCUAACUACGUG
rnacentral:rRNA from 1 species